rnacentral:rRNA from 1 species
GAUGAACGCUGGCGGCGUGCCUAAUACAUGCAAGUCGAGCGAACAGAUGAGGAGCUUGCUCCUCUGACGUUAGCGGCGGACGGGUGGGUAACACGUGGAUAACCUACCUAUAAGACUGGGAUAACUACGGGAAACCGGAGCUAAUACCGGAUAAUAUAUUGAACCGCAUGGUUCAAUAGUGAAAGACGGUUUUGCUGUCACUUAUAGAUGGAUCCGCGCCGCAUUAGCUAGUUGGUAAGGUAACGGCUUACCAAGGCAACGAUGCGUAGCCGACCUGAGAGGGUGAUCGGCCACACUGGAACUGAGACACGGUCCAGACUCCUACGGGAGGCAGCAGUAGGGAAUCUUCCGCAAUGGGCGAAAGCCUGACGGAGCAACGCCGCGUGAGUGAUGAAGGUCUUCGGAUCGUAAAACUCUGUUAUUAGGGAAGAACAAAUGUGUAAGUAACUAUGCACGUCUUGACGGUACCUAAUCAGAAAGCCACGGCUAACUACGUG